rnacentral:rRNA from 1 species
GAUGAACGCUGGCGGCGUGCCUAAUACAUGCAAGUCGAGCGAACAGAUGAGGAGCUUGCUCCUCUGACGUUAGCGGCGGACGGGUGAGUAACACGUGGAUAACCUACCUAUAAGACUGGGAUAACUUCGGGAAACCGGAGCUAAUACCGGAUAAUAUAUUGAACCGCAUGGUUCAAUAGUGAAAGACGGUUUUGCUGUCACUUAUAGAUGGAUCCGCGCCGCAUUAGCUAGUUGGUAAGGUAACGGCUUACCAAGGCAACGAUGCGUAGCCGACCUGAGAGAGUGAUCGGCCAUACUAACACUGAGACACGGUCCAGACUCCUACGGGAUGCAGCAGUAGGGAAUCUUCCGCAAUGUGCGAAAGCCUGACGGAGCAACGCUGCGCGAGUGAUGAAGGUCUUCGGAUCGUAAAACUCUGUUAUUAGGGAAGAACAAAUGUGUAAGUAAAUAUGCACGUCUUGACGGUACCUAAUCAGAAAGCCACGGCUAACUACGUG